GCCAAGAUGUCAACGCCAGGGGCUGUAAUAUCAGGCUACACCAGGGUACGGAAGAGACUAUUGGUUUUAGAUAUCGAGCACUCAAAGAUCGACAGAAAACAUAAAUUUUCUCUAGUUUAAAGGCAGAAUUCAAAGCUUAUAUACCUUCAAAAUAUGCUGUGAGCCCGGAUUUGGACCCCGAGAUGAAAAUGAAGCAACAAAAGGAGCAGGAACUUUUACUUCCUCAGACUUAUAUACCACUGCUGAAGUUGAGUUCACCAUUGUUGCCGGUGCCAUGAAAAUUUGAGCAGUGUCGAGGUAUUCGUCGCUUUCAACAAUAGUGCCAAUUCCUCCAAUACCUUUGACAACAGAAUCAACACCCCAUUGGCCUAGUGUGCAAUAAACAAGCCUUCCUUUCACCUUGACAGGAUCCAAUGUGUUAUCGAAGCAGAACCUUGCGUUUUCCUUGCUUUUGGAGUUCAUCGCAACAUCGGUCCCGCUGACAAUGGGAUAAAUUUUUUCUUUUGAUUCGAAUGUAUUAAUCCCAAUUCCC